rnacentral:rRNA from 1 species
CCUACGUGUAGGAGCUUGACGGUACCGUAAGAAUAAGGAUCGGCUAACUCCGUGCCAGCAGCCGCGGUAAUACGGAGGAUCCAAGCGUUAUCCGGAAUCAUUGGGUUUAAAGGGUCCGUAGGCGGUUUAAUAAGUCAGUGGUGAAAGCCCAUCGCUCAACGAUGGAACGGCCAUUGAUACUGUUAGACUUGAAUUACUAGGAAGUAACUAGAAUAUGUAGUGUAGCGGUGAAAUGCUUAGAUAUUACAUGGAAUACCAAUUGCGAAGGCAGGUUACUACUAGUGGAUUGACGCUGAUGGACGAAAGCGUGGGGAGCGAACAGGAUUAGAUACCCUGGUAGUCC